GUGGGGAAUUUUGGACAAUGGGGGCAACCCUGAUCCAGCCAUGCCGCGUGCGGGAAGAAGGCCUUCGGGUUGUAAACCGCUUUUGUCAGGGAAGAAAUCCUUUGGGUUAAUACCUCGGAGGGAUGACGGUACCUGAAGAAUAAGCACCGGCUAACUACGUGCCAGCAGCCGCGGUAAUACGUAGGGUGCGAGCGUUAAUCGGAAUUACUGGGCGUACAGCGUGCGCAGGCGGUUUUGUAAGAUCGAUGUGAAAUCCCCGGGCUCAACCUGGGAACUGCAUUGGUGACUGCAAGGGUGGAGUGCGGCAGAGGGGGAUGGAAUUCCGCGUGUAGCAGUGAAAUGCGUAGAUAUGCGGAGGAACACCGAUGGCGAAGGCAAUCCCCUGGGCCUGCACUGACGCUCAUGCACGAAAGCGUGGGGAGCAAACAGGAUUAGAUACCCGUGUAGUCC
rnacentral:rRNA from 1 species